UACGGAGGGUGCUAGCGUUAAUCGGAUUUAUUGGGCGUAAAGAGCGCGUAGGCGGAAAAGUAAGUCAGACGUGAAAGCCCGGGGCUCAACCCCGGAACUGCGUUUGAAACUACCUUUCUCGAGGAUGGACGGAGAAAACGGAAUUCCGCAAGUAGCGGUGAAAUGCGUAGAUAUGCGGAAGAACACCGGUGGCGAAGGCGACUUUCUGGUCUGUAACUGACGCUGAGGCGCGAAAGCGUGGGGAGCAAACAGG
rnacentral:misc_RNA from 1 species